rnacentral:rRNA from 1 species
UACAGAGGUCUCAAGCGUUGUUCGGAUUCAUUGGGCGUAAAGGGUGCGUAGGUGGCGCCGUAAGUCAGGUGUGAAAUUUCGGAGCUUAACUCCGAAACUGCAUUUGAUACUGCCUUGCUCGAGGACUGGAGAGGAGAUUGGAAUUCACGGUGUAGCAGUGAAAUGCGUAGAUAUCGUGAGGAAGACCAGUGGCGAAGGCGGAUCUCUGGACAGUUCCUGACACUGAGGCACGAAGGCCAGGGGAGCAAACGGG